CAAAGCGAUGCACCCGGCAACGGGGAGCUAAUCGCAAAAAGGUGGGCCCAGUUCGGAUUGGGGUCUGCAACCCGACCCCAUGAAGCCGGAAUCGCUAGUAAUCGCGGAUCAGCCAUGCCGCGGUGAAUACCGGUUCCCGGGCCUU
rnacentral:rRNA from 1 species